GGAGAUCGACCAGGUCAGGCGCCGGUCAUGGCGGCGGCCAGAUCCGCCACGGCCGUAGCCACCUCGCUGAGGCUCAGAUCUUGGCUGCCAUGGAGGUCAGAACAACACGCCGGGACAAGACCUAACCUCGACCACAUGAGAAGAUGUCUGCCUGCUCCGCGCCACCGACGCCAUGGAGCUUCCCCCUUCUAGCAGGCUAGCAUUCAUUCUUCUCUGAUCCACUAUGUUGCCCCUUCAUCUUCAACCUCUCUGCAGAUUUUUCUUUCUCCCCACAACACAAUCCCUUCUCUACCCGUGGUUCAUCACCUCAAGACCUCAAGAUUUAGUGAUGAUUCCAGUCAGAUUGGUUUGUUGCGUACUUAAUCAUCACCCUAUAGAUGAAUUAUUAUUUGUUUUUGCCAUAAAUGUUGUUCAUGUUGUUGUCCAUAUAUUUAGUUGGUGUCACAACAGUGAUUUGAGCAUCAUGAAAAUCUAGGAAUACCCCUUAAAUUUUAGUCUGUUAUACAGAAACGAGGACAUGGCGCCAUGCAAGCGAGAGGAGCAAGGUGGCUUCUGGGGCUUAGAAUAGCAGGGUGAGAUGGAGUUUUGUGGAGCACUAAGAUAGAUACAGUUACGGUACUGUAUUUUGAGUAGUAUUUCUGGUUCAUCAGGUUUGGUAUUGGGAUUGGUUGCUCUCGCCUGUUGUGAUGUUGGGUUGCUAUUUACCCAUAUUCGUGUAAUAAGUAGUUGGUUGUAUAGAAUUCUGUAGUUGGAUGUAGAGUUCUUGCUUCGAUUCUGAGGUGUUUUGUGUCUGUUAAUUUAUAAUCAUGGCUGAUCCUUGUGACCAGAACCUGAAAACUUGCUUUGUAUUAUCAAUUUCAUUACUGCAAAUGAAAUUGUUGAAAAAAAAAUGUUGUUCAUGUUGUGCUACGCUC
rnacentral:lncRNA from 1 species